CAUAAAUUUUAUGUAAAGUAACGUAUAUAAACUACUUAAAACAAGUGUCAUGUAUAAUCCCUUAUAGGUUUAUUUGUCAGUUAAGAAUUAAAGGGAACUAUAUUACAGAAGUAUAAGUGUACUAAUAUUCACAUACGUAUGUACAUUGAUUACAAACAUAUUUAAGAACAUUUUUUUUACUACGUUGUCAAGAUUUUUUUUUUUUUUUUUUUUCUCAAUUCUUGUACUAAAAACGAUAUUGUUUUGUUAUGCACUUAUUCUUAUACAUAUAAUAUACACAUAUUUAAAUAUGUAUAUAUAUAUGUAUGUAUAUGUAUUUAUAUGUAUGUAUAUGUAUUUAUAUGUAUGUAUAUGUAUUUAUAUGUAUGUAUAUGUAUGUAUAUAUAUGUAUAUGAUUGGUCAAAAAAAAAAAAAAAAAAAGGAUCUUUUUUUUUCUUAUAACUUAUUAAAAAAAAAAAAAAAAAAAUAAAAUAGUCAGUAAACAAAGAAUAAAUAUUUAAGAAAUGAUUAUCAAAUAGAUAAAAAUAAAUAAAUAAAUAAAUAAACAAAUAAAUAAAUAAGUAAACUGAAACAAUGAUUUUGAACACUUCAACGGAUUUUGUGAUUAUUCAUGUAUUUGUUAAAGCGAUAUGAAUAAAAUAAAUUCUACGUUAAAUCAUAUGCAGUUAGUUAAUGAAAAUCUGAAAAAAUUAUUCUUAACACAACAAGAUUUUAAUGAUCAUGAUUCUUAUCUGUUGUUCCGAGGCAAAGUAUCAAAAAGAAUUGUCUAUUAUGCAUCUUUAAUUUCACAAUGUAAUAAUAACAUAUCUGUUUGUGAAAAUGCAGAUGAAAGUGUAGAUGAAUAUGUUAAGGAAAAACUUGAAUACCAUAUAAAAACUCUUAGAAACUAUAAAAGGGAACUAAGUAAAUGGUGGAUGGAACAUAAAAAGAAUUAUUAUCGUUUAUGUGUACAUAAUAUUUUAGAUAAAAAAAAAUGUGAGAGCCAUGAUACUAUAAAAACAAGUGGCACAGAUGUAAAUGACUUACAUUUAAAAGACACGAAAAAUAUGAUGAUAAAUGAAAUUAACAGAAUGAAAAAUGCAAAAUCACAAUUAUUAGAAUCUUCUCACAUAUUAAAAAAACAAGACAAAAUAUUUACUAUGUUCGAGUCAAGGUUAAAAUCAAGUGCACAACUUAUAUUAUCUAUAAGAAAAAAAGCAGAAAAAGACUCGAAAUAUGUUUGGUACUCUUUUUUUUUCUUUCUUAUUAAACUUUUAUUUUUCGCCAUAUUCUAUUUAUUAAAAUUUUGUAUCCGAGUGUUUUAUUUAUUUAAAACGAAAAAUAAAGAAAAUGAUUUUAGUACAAGCGCGGAUAUUUCGAAAAGUGUCACGUCAUAAUCGUUUAAGUAACUAGUGAAUUUUGAAAAAAAAAAAACAGACAUAAACAAACGUAAACAAACGAAAGCAAACAAAAACAAA
rnacentral:lncRNA from 1 species